GACGAACGCUGGCGGCGUGCCUAAUACAUGCAAGUCGAGCGAACGGACGAGAAGCUUGCUUCUCUGAUGUUAGCGGCGGACGGGUGAGUAACACGUGGAUAAUCUACCUAUAAGACUGGGAUAACUUCGGGAAACCGGAGCUAAUACCGGAUAAUCUUUUGAACCGCAUGGUUGAAAAGUAAAAGUCGGUCUUGCUGUCACUUAUAGAUGGAUCCGCGCUGCAUUAGCUAGUUGGUAAGGUAACGGCUUACCAAGGCAACGAUGCAUAGCCGACCGGAGAGGGUGAUCGGCCACACUGGAACUGAGACACGGUCCAGACUCCUACGGGAGGCAGCAGUAGGGAAUCUUCCGCAAUGGGCGAGAGCCUGACGGAGCAACGCCACGUGAGUGGUGAAGAUCUUCGGAUCGUAAAACUCUGUUAUUAGGGAAGAACAUAUGUGUAAGUAGCUGUGCACAUCUUGACGGUACCUAAUCAAAAAGCCACGGCUAACUACGUG
rnacentral:rRNA from 1 species